rnacentral:lncRNA from 1 species
GUUUAUUACAAGAUGUUGACUAUAGUUCCCUGUGCUAUCCAAUAAGUCCUCAUUGCUUAUCUAGUUUAUGUAUAAUAGUGUAUGUCUUUUCAUCUCACACUCCUAAUUUAUCCCUCCCCGACUCCCUUUCCCCUUUGGUAGCCAUAAGUUUGUUUUCUGUGUCUGUCUGUUGCUUAAUUUUACAUUUACCUUUCUGCUUUCUUGCAGACAGAUGAGUGGAGUCGACAGCAAGAACACCAAGAAUGUGCUUCACCGACAGGGCUGAACCAGCCAGGGAGAGGCUUGAGCUGAGGUUUGAAGGAGAGCCACUGCGCUGCGCAUCUCUAGGCAGUGAGGCCAGAGCCGUGAUCUGUGGCAGAGGCCCCUGCCAGGCGUUUGCCAACAGGCAGUGGAGGCCACUGGGAUUCUUGGCAAGUGGAACCCCAGAUGCAGCAGAACCCCAUCAUCAGCCUCAGACACAGAGCCGGACGCAGAGCAAGCACUCCCCACUGAGACGAAAGCCAUGCCCUAGAGGUCCCUGCCCGAUGCCCCAGGGGCCCUGACAUGCCUGCAGAGUGGACACUGUGACCAUGCAGAGUCUGAGGGCCCUCUGUUCAAGAGGAAUGUUCAGAGACCUGCUAGCCCUGUACCUAUUUCACAGAACAGGAGACUGGAGGCCCCGGGAAGGAAGGACCUGCCUAAGGACACACAGUGAGUAACUGGUCACCUGACGCCUACCUUGGACUAAUGUCCCCUGAAGAGCUAGUUGGGCCCUUCCCUAGGUCACUGAACAAAAUGUCCAAAUGUAAAGUCCCUUUAUCCAAAGGGUGGCCAGGCACUUUCAGCCCCCUUUCCCUCUGGCUUCGGGAAUCUGUGAUACAAGGCUGGGUCCAGGACGUGGCAGACAGUCUGUCCCACAGGAUAUCAUGGGACAGUACAAGAAGCAUGAAAAUUGGUGUCCAAAGCUGUCUUUGACUCAACUCCUCUGGGCAGCCUCAAAGACAUCACUUAACCUCUAGUUGUGUUACUGAAAGUGGGGUCUGGCUGCUUGCUGCUUGCGCCAAUAGGCAAGGUUGGAAGAAAGCAAAGUUUGCUUUACUUUGGAGACUGGCAGCCAGGGGGAGAGGGCAGACUCAUGUCCAAAGGCCAACUCCUCCAUCCCCCUGCAAAAAUCAGUGGACAAGAGAUUUUAAAGGGGAGGUUCAUGGGUGUAUAGAUGAAAAGGGAAAGCUACACACAAAAACAGCCCAGUCAGCUCUGACAUUCAUCUUCAAAUUGGCCAUGCUAGUAGUCUGAUGUUGAUUGUUUUAAGUGGUGUUAGUCUUUAGUUCCAGAGUCAGUUUGUUCCCAUUUCUGUGAAGCCACUUCUCAGAAUUGUGGCUGCUUAUGUCAUGGCUACAGUCUGGUCAUCCUGUAGUUAACAUCUUCUGUCUGGUGAGGGUUUCUGUGUCUACAAAACAGCUGAAAGGAUAUGGCUCCAAAUAUUAUCUAUAACCCUGGAGGAGGAACUAAAGGUCCUUGACUUUAGUUAAUGACUAUGCUAUUACUAUUUGGUCUCAUUUU